CUUAGUGACCGAUAGCGCAUAGUACUGUGAAGGAAAGGUGAAAAGGACCCCGGGAGGGGAGUGAAAGAGAACCUGAAACCCUGUGUCUACAAGCUGUGGGAGCACUUUAUAUGUGCGACCGCGUACUUUUUGUAGAACGGUCCGGCGAGUUACGCUUACUGGCAAGGUUAAGCACUUCAGGUGUGGAGCCGUAGGGAAACCAAGUCUUAAGAGGGCCUUAAGUCAGUAGGAGUAGACCCGAAACCGGGUGAUCUAUCCAUGUCCAGGUUGAAGCUGCCGUAAGAGGUAGUGGAGGACCGAACCCACAUCCGUUGAAAAGGGUGGGGAUGAGGUGUGGAUAGGGGAGAAAUUCCAAUCGAACCCGGAGAUAGCUGGUUCUCCUCGAAAUAGCUUUAGGGCUAGCCUCGAUACAGAUUUGCGGAGGUAGAGCACUGAAUUUCCUAGGGGGCGUCAAAGCCUACCGAAGAAUAUCAAACUCCGAAUGCCGCGUAAUCGAUUAUCGGGAGUCAGACUGCACGAGAUAAGUUGGGCGGUCAAAAGGGAAAGAGCCCAGACCUUCAGUUAAGGUCCCCAAGUGCGCGUUAAGUGGAAAAGGAUGUGGGAUUUCGAAGACAACCAGGAUGUUGGCUCAGAAGCAGCCAUCCAUUCAAAGAGUGCGUAAUAGCUCACUGGUCGAGAGGUCCUGCGCCGAAAAUGUCCGGGGCUGAAACGCGCCACCGAAACUAAGGAACCGAAAGGUUGGUAGAGGAGCAUUGCAUGCGGAACGAAGCAGUACCGUAAGGAGCUGUGGACUGCAUGGAAGAGAGAAUGCCGGAAUGAGUAGCGAGAAUAAGGUGAGAAUCCUUAUGGCCGAAUAUCCAAGGUUUCCAGAGUAAAGCUGAUCUGCUCUGGGUAAGUCGGGGCCUAAGGCGAGGACGAGAGUCGUAGCCGAUGGACAACAGGUGGAGAUUCCUGUACUGCGGUAUGACAGAACUGUGGGGACACGUAAGGAAAGCGGAAGCCGGGAAUGGAAAGCCCGGUGCAAGCGGGGUACCAGUCACUUUGGCAAAUCCGGGUGGCAAUGGGAAGCCGUGAUGCGGAGCGAAAUAAAGUAGCGAAGUCCGUGAGCCAUGCGUCAAGAAAAGCCGCUAUCGUUUAUACCGUACCCGUACCGUAAACCGACACAGGUGGAUGAGGAGAGAAUCCUAAGGCCGGCGGAAGAAGCAUUGUCAAGGAACUCGGCAAAAUGGCCCCGUAACUUAGGGAUAAGGGGUGCCUGGGAAACCAGGCCGCAGAGAAUAGGCUCAAGCAACUGUUUAGCAAAAACACAGGUCUAUGCGAAACCGAAAGGUGAGGUAUAUGGGCUGACGCCUGCCCGGUGCUGGAAGGUUAAGAGGAGAGGUUAGCGCAAGCGAAGCUUUGAAUUUAAGCCCCAGUAAACGGCGGCCGUAACUAUAACGGUCCUAAGGUAGCGAAAUUCCUUGUCGGGUAAGUUCCGACCCGCACGAAAGGCGUAAUGAUUUGAGCGCUGUCUCGACAAUGCAUCCGGUGAAAUUGAAGUACCAGUGAAGAUGCUGGUUACCUGCGCCAGGACGGAAAGACCCCAUGGAGCUUUACUCCAGUCUGGUACUGGGACUCGGUAUUGCAUGUACAGGAUAGGUGGGAGGCUAGGAGAUGGUAACGCCAGUUGCCAUGGAGCCGCUGUUGGGAUACCACCCUUGCAGUAUUGGGUUUCUAACCAGCCGCCGUGACCCGGCGGUGGGACAAUGCCAGACGGGGAGUUUGACUGGGGCGGUCGCCUCCGAAAGGGUAUCGGAGGCGCUCAAAGGUUCCCUCAGAAUGGUCGGAAACCAUUCGAAGAGUGCAAAGGCAGAAGGGAGCUUGACUGCGACACCGACGGGUGGAGCAGGUACGAAAGUAGGACUUAGUGAUCCGGUGGUAUUAAGUGGGAAUGCCAUCGCUCAACGGAUAAAAGCUACCCUGGGGAUAACAGGCUUAUCACUCCCAAGAGUUCACAUCGACGGAGUGGUUUGGCACCUCGAUGUCGGCUCAUCGCAUCCUGGGGCUGUAGUAGGUCCCAAGGGUUGGGCUGUUCGCCCAUUAAAGCGGUACGCGAGCUGGGUUCAGAACGUCGUGAGACAGUUCGGUCCCUAUCCGGCGUGGGCGUAGGAUAUCUGAGAGGAGCUGUCCUUAGUACGAGAGGACCGGGAUGGACGGGCCGCUGGUGCAUCGGUUAGACUGCCAAGUCUACGGCCGAGUAGCCAAGCCCGGAAGGGAUAAACGCUGAAGGCAUCUAAGCGUGAAGCCCCCCUUAAGAUGAGAUAUCCCAUUCGUUAAGAAGUAAACCCCCUUGAAGACGACGAGGUAGAUAGGGCAGAGGUGGAAGUGUGGCAACACAUGGAGCUGACUGUUACUAAUCGGGUGAGGGCUUGACCAA
rnacentral:rRNA from 1 species